AAAUACAAGCAAAUGGCUUUGUCAAGCAUAACGGGCAAAACUGCAAUUGAUUGUUUGAAAUCAUCUCGUCGAAAUCCAACGAACGGCUAAUUUGAGAGCACCUUCUUAAGAUUCAAGAUUCAGAGGCACCUUCAAUCUUACCUUUGGUUUUAUUUUUCAUUUCCCGAUAUUCACAAGAUAAUUCUGUUCGAUGGGCCUGGAUGAAGUUCAUAUUCUAUUUCUCACAUUUGCGAAGUCGCCAACAUGGAAGCUGAAGCCCUGGAGGGCUCUUUCUGUCUUCUGGAACAGGAAGGGAUAAUUUCUGCCAAUGCUGAAGGGUCACAUGGUAUACGGGGACCAUAGAAAGCAUACAAUCACAAUCUCGUCUAUUUUUAUCUUUUGCUUGUUUUCUUAAGCCAUUACCCUGUUUUUUGCUUUGCAAGCUCCACUGUGAUUGGUUGUGUCCGGAGUCCCUCUGUUUUUUUUGAAUUAUGUUGGGUGUCUGGUGUGGAAUUGGGCAUGUCUUUUUUCAAGGCCUCCUUGUUGUAUUUUUGUGAAACAAUAUGGGUUUAUUUUCCCUCUUUCUGUUAUGAAGAUUUAAGAAGUAUUUUCUGGGUGUAGGAUUGGAAUUCGUUUGUACUACCUAGUUAUCUAGAUUGAAGGUGGGCAUGGUCAUGUGGUUAUUGUCAGGAUUUAAGUUGUAGAUUUUGUGGUUGGGUUUAUCUAGUUUGAAGUGGGGUGUCCAUUUCUUCAUCUUUCAUAGUAAUAAAUUGUUUCUAGAAAGAAAUGCCCCUGAAUCAUUCCUUGAUGAAGGCUGUGGUAUUAGCAAUUGAUGCUUGACCAUGUGAUUGAUUCAGGAUGAUGUGUCAGUUUUUCAUGGCUAUGAAUUAAUGCUUGCCUAUCACAGAUUAACAAGCGCAUGAUGUUUCAACAUGGAACAUGAUUGGAGACAGUAUUGGUAAGAUAUGGACAUCUUGGCAGAAAAUUGGAUUGGAUUAUAUAGGUUGUAUCAGUAUUGUUAUCCUUAAUUUGAUGCACAUAAUGGGUUUUCUAAUUUGACAAAUACUGCGAUUACCACAUCAUAAAUAUGGUCAAUAGAGGAGCUUAGUACAAUAAACAAUAGAUUAAAAAGCCCUAAAAUAUCAAGUUAUAGAUAUUGUGGGUGUACUAGCCUUUAAUGAAUUUGUAUUUGAAAUUUUGAUCCUCUCAUUUCCCAAUCACUGCUUGAUUGAUAAAUAAUGUUAUCAAUUUAUAUGACUUUGAUUAUGGUCAUAUCCCUGGUGAGGAUUCAUAGGUGAGGGUGUUUUCGAUUAAGUCUUAUUCAUAGAAAGGGUGUGUAGAGGAGAGAUGUUUCCACUGUGAAGAUAAAGCCACGGAUUCAUAUGAUUUCAAGGAACUAAUGGUUGAAGAAAAUAUUUUGUGGGAGUUUGACCUUGCCAUAAAGUAAGUCUCUAGAGGUCAUACACACCGAACUUUCCUAAAGUUCAAGUCCAAGAUAUUGUAUGUCAAAGUCAGAGAAGGUUGUUAAGAUGAAAUUAACAUGAUCUAAGUGGUUAAAUGUGUGGCAAAUUGCAAUUUUAUGAUAUCAAAUCCUAUGGAAUUUAAUCAUGUUUUAGUAGAACACGCAAUGACAAGUGUGAAUGAAUCCAAUGGAAAGCCUUGGGCAUCUGGUUUUUUUAUGAUUAAAAAGUUAAUGUGUAUUUAGCUCCUUUCAUUGAAAGUAUUAAUAAGAAGAUGAAUUUUGAUGCACCCAUUGUAGCUAUGAAUUUACUUUUUUGAUUAUAUUUAUAUAUUGUUUUGCAUGGAUUGAUACCUGUUCUAGCUUCAUGGUGAUUUGGCAUGGAAAAAGAAAAGAUAAUACCGAACUUUCCUAAAGUUCAAGUCCAAGAUAUUGUAUGUCAAAGUCAGAGAAGGUUGUUAAGAUGAAAUUAACAUGAUCUAAGUGGUUAAAUGUGUGGCAAAUUGCAAUUUUCAGCCAUGAUAUCAAAUCCUAUGGAAUUUAAUCAUGUUUUAGUAGAACACGCAAUGACAAGUGUGAAUGAAUCCAAUGGAAAGCCUUGGGCAUCUGGUUUUUUUAUGAUUAAAAAGUUAAUGUGUAUUUAGCUCCUUUCAUUGAAAGUAUUAAUAAGAAGAUGAAUUUUGAUGCAUCCAUUGUAGCUAUGAAUUUACUUUUUUGAUUAUAUUUAUAGAUUGUUUUGCAUGGAUUGAUACCUGUUCUAGCUUCAUGGUGAUUUGGCAUGGAAAAAGAAAAGGUACAACUCUUGUAGUAGCUGUGUCUUGAAAAUAUCGUCGAAGGUUAGCAAUGACCACCCUUUUCUACUUGCGUUCAAAGUGGAUGCUUCAUAGCUUGCAGCAGGUCCUUUGGUUAUCUAUGGGAUAGGCACCAGAAGUUUUAAAAGAGUCUUUUUGGCUGGAGCAACAACUUCCAUUUGUGUGAUGCUUGCUUGCAGGUAGUAGUUGUCUAAUUUUAGGUGGAAAUCUUGUAAUGGUCAUGAAGGGUGAUCAUCACUGGAGGGAAAUUAUUAUUUGAUUUUAUUUUUAAAUAGCGAGGCAUUGGAAUUUGGGCGCCCAAGUUGGCUUUCAUCAAUCUCUUUAUUGACAGAGAAUUGCUCAGUGUUGGCAUCCAAUUUCUCUAUACCAAAACUAUGUGGAAAUUAUUUGAGCACUUGUGCUCAUACAUCCAUUAGAGGAGGAAACCCCUUGGAUGCUGAAAUUAGAGGAAAAAAGCCCUUUAGUUUCCUCAGAGCAAUCUCAUAUAGAGGUUGCAUUUGCACUUCAAGACUCUUUGCAUUUUUUUAGUUUUUUCAAUAUGCUAUUUGCAAAUUUAAUGAUGCAAUGAGCUCU